GCAUAACGCGAAGAACCUUACCCACCUUUGACAUGUACGGAAUCCUUUAGAGAUAGAGGAGUGCUCGAAAGAGAGCCGUAACACAGGUGCUGCAUGGCUGUCGUCAGCUCGUGUCGUGAGAUGUUGGGUUAAGUCCCGCAACGAGCGCAACCCUUGCCAUUAGUUGCUACAUUUAGUUGAGCACUCUAAUGGGACUGGCCGGUGACAAACCGGAGGAAGGUGGGGAUGACGUCAAGUCCUCAUGGCCCUUAUAGGUGGGGCUACACACGUCAUACAAUGGCUGGUACAAAGGGUUGCCAACCCGCGAGGGGGAGCUAAUCCCAUAAAGCCAGUCGUAGUCCGGAUCGCAGUCUGCAACUCGACUGCGUGAAGUCGGAAUCGCUAGUAAUCGUGGAUCAGAAUGUCACGGUGAAUACGUUCCCGGGUCUUGUACACACCG
rnacentral:rRNA from 1 species